rnacentral:rRNA from 1 species
UACGGGGGGGGCAAGCGUUGUUCGGAAUUACUGGGCGUAAAGGGCGCGUAGGCGGCCUUCUAAGUCGGACGUGAAAUCCCUCGGCUUAACCGAGGAACUGCGUCCGAUACUGAAAGGCUUGAAUCCGGGAGAGGGAUGUGGAAUUCCAGGUGUAGCGGUGAAAUGCGUAGAUAUCUGGAGGAACACCGGUGGCGAAGGCGGCAUCCUGGACCGGCAUUGACGCUGAGGCGCGAAAGCGUGGGGAGCGAACAGG